GCCACACUGCCUGCUUAACCCCAAAGCCAACCACACCAAUGUGUCAGAGGAAGCAAUCAUAUACCUGGCAUCCAUGUCAGCAUACAUGCACCCAGCCUGCCACAGGAGUUGCUAGAGCACAAUGGGACAAGGACAUCACUGCCAGCCAAACCAUCCACUAAAUCAGACAAUGCUGGGUUAAUUGUGUACCACUCCAUGGGUCUCCCAUUCACAACUGGCUACAACAGAGCCUGGACUCAAACCAGGAUCUCUAGUGGAAGAGUUAGCAACUACAAUGCAGUGCCUUAGACCAAUGCGCCACUCGGGAGGCCUAGAUUGAAAUCUAUAAACACUGAGGUGAAGCCAGGUGUGCAAAACGUCUUAUGUCAUAUUCAUAUACAUCAUAGGAUGAUAUCUUAAUGUUUAUCCUUAAAGGCUGCCAAUCAAAUACAGGAUGGGGGUGGGCAUCUGUAAUUACAAUCAAAGCAAAAAAAUGAUAUUUGGAGAUUGUUCAUAUAGAUAAACAAUAGCUGCCAAAGCAUGUUUUUGAAUGAUCAAAGAAUGGCUUGGCUAGUCACCAAGUCAUCAUCAGAAGUUGGACCUCCUUUUGCUUUUGGGGAGAAUAAAAAGGAGCAGAUCUCUCCCUCAGACUUCAUAUCGUUCUUCAGCAAUCCUUUGAUUCUCUUGUGGUGCUGCACUACUAAAGAAUCCUUCAAGAUGAAAACCUUCAUUCUGAUCGCCUGCAUCCUGGGGACUGCUCUCGGCCGCCCUCAAAGGCUGGUCAUGGAGUUUGACUUCCAGGCUGCCAACGCUCAGGCUCUCCAAGCUGGACAAGCCAGACCUAAUCUAGAGAUUGUGGGUGUUUGACAAAAUAAAUAGUUCAAAUUAAUCACAAUACAUUUCCCAUUCUAGAUUGAAGUCAAACUUCUAAGUUUAUUCUAGUAACCAGUGUGUUUUCUAAUUUUACAGAUUCUUCCUGUUGGUGGCGGAGUACCUGUAAGUAACCAUAGCAACAUAGUGAAAUACUGUACAUGUUAGUGCUGUUGAUUUAGUUAUGCUGCACCAGUGAAUCUCACAAUAAUACAGUGAAUGUUCAAUCCAGUCAAUGUCAAAGAUGUUGGGGCGGCAGGUUGUCUGGUGGUUAGAGUCUUGGGCCAGUAAUCUAAAGGUUGCUGGAUCGAGUCCCCGAGCUGACAAGGUAAACAUAUGUUGUUCUGCCCCUGAACAAGGCAGUUAGCCCACUGUUCUCCGGUAUGCUGUCAUUGUAAAGAAGAAUUUGUUCUUAACUGACUUGCCUAGUUAAAUAAAGGUUAAAUGAAAAUGGUUCACUAUCAGAAAUUCAGAAAAUCAUGAUGAAAGUGCGUGUGUGUCAAUCAAUAGUCGGGUGGUGUCCUCAGCCAGGAGGGCGUUGAGAUUAUGAGUGAUCAUCACCCCCAUUAAUGUACGGUACACAGUACAACAAAUGUAUUGUGCGUCUGUUUGAUUGGAUAUAUGACUCAAUCCCUUUCUCUCCUCUCCUCCUGUACCUUCCCUUCAAGAUCCAGGUUGCACCACCUCCGCCUGCUCCUGCUGCACCUGCCAGUGUAAGACCCAAUACCUAUCUGCCUUCAUGUCCGCAACAUACAGUACAUCAGGUGGCAUUUUGAACGUAAUUGAAAGAAGUCCUGCUGAGACUGAGACUGUACUAACAUGGACACCGUACCUACGUUCAUAUAGGUGCUACUGUGAAAGAGUCUCACUCAAUCAUGUUGAAAAAAAAAAAAUAUAUAUAUAUAUAUAUAUAUAGUGUGAUACAGAGGUUGUUGUUGAUCAUGGACUUUGGCUAGUAAGUCCAUGUCAUUUUCAAAUGAAAAAUAUUGAUUUCCAAUAUGUUAUAGUGGGUUACUUUAAAGAUACUGUCAAAAAAGCUGGGAACAGUGUCUUCAACCAUUCAUUUAGCCACUGUGAUGUGAAAUGAAACAACUGUUCAAAUAGGAGUGCUGAUUGAUUAAUUGGCAACCACUGUUAUUGCAGACUCAUACAUCCAAUGAGGAAGACGAUUAGAGAUGUGAGUAAGACCUUUAUAUGACACACACUUGUAUUGCCAUAUUUAAGCUCGUGAAUUGAUGAAUUCCUUAACCGUUCUGUCACAGAGCAAUGUAACAGGCUUGAUAAUGUUGUUUGGUGCUACAGUACCUAUGUUUGAUUGUGGUCAGUUUUUUUUGUAUUACUGUGUAAAAUCUACAGUACAUUCUAAACUCAUAAGACCUACAUUUAUCAUACCUCAUGUGGUUAAAUCUUAGACUCAGAAGUCUGCUGACUUUGCACUUACCUGUAUUUCUGUUUCUCAAUCCUCCAUAUUUUACUAUUUUCAGAUUAUUUUUUAUUUUUUUAACUAGGCAAUUAGUUAAGAACAAAUUCUUAUUUUCAAUGACAGCCUAGGAACACUGGGUUAACUGCCUGUUCAGGGGCAGAAUGACAGAUUUAUACAUGGUCAGCUUGGGGAUUUGAACUUGCAACCUUCUGGUUACUAGCACAACGCACUAACCGCUAGGCCACCCUGCCUCAAAUACUUGGAAAUCUACAAUACCCUUUGAUGAACAACAAUGUCCUUCAACUCCACAGCUGCUUUUAGUGUCCUAGAUUGAUUCAGUAAAUGCAAUGCUUAACCCAGCAAUAAACAUUGCGUAACAUGGUGCUUAACUGAUGGCUUGAUGCAUGAAAGCUGUGUGUAAUUGUUUGUACUUGGCAGAAGAAUGUUAAUAAAACCCCCAGAAUGUUUUGCCAACCUUCUCCAUACCAUGCCUCAAUUUUCUUUCUUGUCCCUGCUUGUUAGUCUGUGGCAUUGAUGAC
rnacentral:lncRNA from 1 species